GACGAACGCUGGCGGCGUGCCUAAUACAUGCAAGUCGAACGCAGUGGGGACGGUUGAGUAACACGUGGGUAACCUCCCAUCAGAGGGGAUAACACUUGGAAACAGGUGCUAAACCGGUACUGAUGGAUGGUCCCGCGGGGCAUUAGCUAGUUGGUGAGGUAACGGCUCACCAAGGCCACGAUGCAUCGCUGAUCUGAGAGGGUGAUCGGCCACACUGGGACUGAGACACGGCCCAGACUCCUACGGGAGGCAGCAGUAGGGAAUUUUCGGCAAUGGACGCAAGUCUGACCGAGCAACGCCGCGUGAGUGAAGAAGGUUUUCGGAUCGUAAAACUCUGUUGUUAGAGAAGCGUUAUCUAACCAGAAAGCCCCGGCUAACUACGUGCCAGCAGCCGCGGUAAUAC
rnacentral:rRNA from 1 species